CCUACGGGAGGCAGCAGUGGGGAAUCUUGGGCAAUGUGCGCAACCCUGACCCAGCAACGCCGCGUGACGGAAGAAGGCUCUCGGGUUGUAAACUUCUUUUAUCAGGGACGAAGCAAGUGACGGUACCUGAUGAAUAAGCCACGGCUAACUACGUGCCAGCAGCCGCGGUACUAAGUAGGUGGCAAGCGUUAUCCGGAUUUACUGGGUGUAAAGGGCGUGUAGGCGGGAAAGCAAGUCAGAUGUGAAAACCAUGGGCUCAACCUGUGGCCUGCAUUUGAAACUGUUUGUCUUGAGUGCUGGGGAGGCAGACGGAAUUCCUAGGGUAGCGGUGAAAUGCGUAGAUAUUAGGAGGAACACCAGUGGCGAAGGCGGUCUGCUGGACAGCAACGGACGCUGAGGCGCGAAAGCGUGGGGAGCAAACAGGAUUAGAUACCCUUGUAGUC
rnacentral:rRNA from 1 species